GCCUGUCUAAUAUUGUCCUGAACUGUUAAUGCAUUUUCUCUGAUUGAUAUGCAGUGACCACACAAAUCAGAUCUGUUAAAUAUUUCUCUUCUUCAACAGGCAUUGUCCUAGACAUUAUUUUGGUGGGUCUUAGAUGACCCCUAAUGACGUCACCUGCUGCUCUAGUCUUUUCUUGGUCGCCUCUCAAACUGUUCAGAGAUCUCUUGCCAGCAUUUCAGUUCUCUUUGGACAGGCUGGAACACCCCUGGAAUAACUGAGCAAAGGAGGGCUGUACUCUGUACUCAUAAAGAGACAAUGAUCCGAUGGUCACAAAUAAAAUACUGUACUUUCUGUGCAUACUUCAUCAAACACAGUUAUUUUAAAUGAUCUUUUUAAAGACAAUUUAUUUUAUUGCUCUGUCAAAGAAGAUACAUUUUAGUGAAUACUCUCUGUUUUGAGUUUUUUGUAUUACUAAAUAGAUAAACAUCAGUGUUGUGUAAUAGUAGACAAACAUUUUUUUUAAAACGGUUUCAUUUACAAACUCUAGACUGAAAGUAUUUC